UUACUAUUAAAUCCUUUAAUAACUCUAUUAAAAAUGAUAACAUGGCACAACUGAGACCCACUAUUUUGCUAAAAUACAUACCACAUAAGUGCUAUGUGUGCAAAAACAUAAUAAAAUAUUUUAUUUAAAAAAAUAAUGAUUUAAGAUAAACAAUAAAUAAUAAAAAUACUGUUUUUAAAUUUUUAUUGUUUAAUGAAAAAAAAAAUUCAAUAAGCCAAUUCCCACCUAAAGAUCGCCCCUCCUUCUACGUCAAAACCCAAUAGUCACCACCAUCACUCCCAAGCAAGACACAGCCACCUCUCCUGAACUUCUUCCACUCACAGCCACCCCCACCUCCAACAACCACCUACAUGUAUCCACCGACCAACUUCAUCUUCAUCGUAGACAAAGAGGAGUGCCAAAACCCAAACAUGAUAGGUGUGCGGACUCGUACUCACUAAUGAAGGCAUGCUCCAGCUUUUCUUCUCCUAAACUUGGCUUAGCAUUUUUAACCUAAUGGGCUUAAUGGUAAAGGGUAAAGUGAGACACAAAACAUCAGUCAAGGAUCAAGGUGAGUCACUUUGAGUUUCAG
rnacentral:lncRNA from 1 species